UAAACUUCAUGUAAUCCAGGCCAUGUGA
rnacentral:piRNA from 1 species